AUGUACUGGGACCGCUUGUCGUCACCAUCUAUGGGCGGGGCCUCCGUCCUUACCGACCAAUCCGGACAGACCAAUCGACCCCUACUCCCCGCCACCUUGCAUCCGGUCGGGUCUGUCAGAGGCAUAGACUCCCAAUCCCAUCCUGCAACACGCCCUAUGGAACCUAAAGGUCGGGCGGUCGUUGCUGCGCUGCAUGCCGGGGGAUGUUGUUUCUGGGAGCGUGACACCCCCGUAGGAGUGCUCUCCCCUCCCCCUCAAACCAGCUUCUCUCCUUGUCUCGCCGGCUUCACCCACGUGACCCCGCCCUCGUCUCCGCCUCCUCUGGGUCUCUUCCCAGGGAGUGACGCCUGGGCAAUCACUAGGCUUGCAGCCCUGACAACCGCACUCUCUAUUGACCAAAGGCAACCAGAGGUGGGAGGCUGAUGACUGGCAUGAAGUAAGCAAAAACCAUGGGCCCCACCACUUCCUCUGUCCUCAUUGUACCCAUCCUCAGCUUGAGAUUGCGCUGUCCUGACCAGUGGUAAUUUCCUUUUAGGGUGAGGCAGUUAUCCUCCCAAUAGCACACACCCUGUGUCUGCUGUUUCUCUUACCUAGGCAAGAUACAAUGAUGAAUUGCUGAAUAUAGAAACAUCAAAGUAAUAGUCUCAAGAUUUCAUUGUCCUAUAAUCAUCCUCUACUCAUCAGGCAAUAAUACCUCUGAAUAUGCCAUAUGUGCCAAGGAUUAGGUCUCUGGCAUCUUGUUGGCAUUCUUAUUCACUGCAGUCUAAUUUCUUACUCUUGGAAACAAAGAAUCAACUUCUCAUCUUUAAGAUUGGGGUAAGAAUGGUUAGAUGGAAGUCCUUUUGAAAACAUUUGGGGGUUUUCGGGUAGAAGUCUCAAACACAUACAUUUCUGAGUGUGGCUCAAACCAGAUUAAGAUGCAGUUCUUAUCUGCUCUUAAUAUAAAUCAUGUAGUUUUCUAAGUCAAUAGGUAACCCAUUGACCUCCUAUUGUAUACACCUGUAUACAGCAUGGUUAUAUGUAGUUUAGUAGCCCCCAUUUGUAGUUGAGUUUGACGCCAUUGUCUUAAGGGACUCCAAGCUCAAUAUGAGAUAGUUGUAGGAUGUAGUGGUCAAAAAAUCUAAUAUAAUUUUGGGCUCCGUUAACAUAAGAAGCAUGUAUCCAGAAAGAAAUAAGGAGAAAAUCCUGCUGUACUCUGCUUUGAUCAGAUCUCAUCUGGAGUAUAGGGAUGAUGGUUUAAGAAGGAUAUUGAUAAGCUGAAUAGUAUCCAAAGGAGGGCAACCAGGAUAAUAAAGAGCCUUGAGUCCAUGUCA
rnacentral:lncRNA from 1 species